rnacentral:tRNA from 1 species
GGGCAAAUGGUGUAGUUGGUUAUCACAUCCGCUUAGCAUCGUGCUUGCGGAAGGGGUCCGGUUCAAUUCCGGAUUUGUCCA